ACCUUUAGCUCAGUUGGUUAGAGCAUCCGGCUCAUAACCGGGCGGUCGAUGGUUCGAGUCCAUCAAGGUCC
rnacentral:tRNA from 2 species